GAUGAACGCUGGCGGCGUGCCUAAUACAUGCAAGUCGAGCGAACAGAUAAGGAGCUUGCUCCUUUGACGUUAGCGGCGGACGGGUGAGUAACACGUGGGUAACCUACCUAUAAGACUGGGAUAACUUCGGGAAACCGGAGCUAAUACCGGAUAACAUUUGGAACCGCAUGGUUCUAAAGUGAAAGCUGGUUUUGCUAUCACUUAUAGAUGGACCCGCGCCGUAUUAGCUAGUUGGUAAGGUAACGGCUUACCAAGGCAACGAUACGUAGCCGACCUGAGAGGGUGAUCGGCCACACUGGAACUGAGACACGGUCCAGACUCCUACGGGAGGCAGCAGUAGGGAAUCUUCCGCAAUGGGCGAAAGCCUGACGGAGCAACGCCGCGUGAGUGAUGAAGGGUUUCGGCUCGUAAAACUCUGUUAUUAGGGAAGAACAAAUGUGUAAGUAACUGUGCACAUCUUGACGGUACCUAAUCAGAAAGCCACGGCUAACUACGUGCCAGCAGCCGCAGUAA
rnacentral:rRNA from 1 species